GGGGUUGUGGCUCAGUGGUAAAGCACUUGCCUUGCAUACAUAAGGCCCUGGGUUCAAUCCUCAGCUCCA
rnacentral:tRNA from 1 species